rnacentral:lncRNA from 1 species
UUUACGAUUUUUGGCGAAAUAAACACUCCCGGAGAGAUUAUACCUCGUUUGCCAAAUGGGAAACAAUUAAUCACUGUCAGUCCUAGCAGCUCUGACUAAGUCCAUAGUUUGUAUGUAUUUGUUCACAGACGUUGGAAACGAGCCCGAGCUUAUGUGAACUUUAAUUUCGAGUCUAAAUUUAGGCUCAAACUCGACUUUAAAUUAAUUCGAGAUGAGUUCGAGUGAGUCUAAAUUCGAAUCGAGCGAACUCGAGCUUUAAACGAGCCGCUUGAAAUUCUUAAUAUGAUGCAACCUAUAAUUUAAUUUUUAUAUAACAUUAUCUAAAAUUUCAUACAAAAAUAUGUUUAAUAAUUCAACAUAUAAAAUAAAUGUAUGAAAUAUGAUAUUAUAAUACUAAGAAAAAUAAUUUAGGGGACAUGACUUUGCGAGGAAUAAGUGAAAGAAAGAGAGAAAGAGAGUAAUUAGAGUGUGGUUUUGGUGGUUUGAUUUUGUUGGCUAGCAAAUAUGCCUAAUAAACCGAAUUCUAUAUAUAUACAUAUAAUUAAAAUACAUAAUAUGUAUUAUAUAUAUAAUUAUAAUAUAUAUUAUAUAUAAUUACAUAUAUAUUUAUAUAUAUAUAGAGAGAGAGAGUAUGUCUCCUGUGCUUUCGAAAGUACGGAGGCCUCCGUACUUAUAAGUUGUUUACGAUGAUAGGGCAUCUGAUUCGAUAAUCGACUCCGUUAGACAUAAUCUAUACUAUUGAAACUAUUUAAAACUCAAAUUUUAUAAUUUUUCGACAUCAUUCACUAAGUGCUCAAAAUGUCUCAACAAUGGCUAUUUUAACGGUCGAUAUGAUACGUUUUUAAGUUCAAUGGUGUAAAAAAUAAUCUAAAUUAUAUGAAACUUUAAUAAAAAAUUCUAUUUAACAUCAAUAGUAAGAACAAUACUCGUUAUUUGAAAUUUGAGUGUUUUACCACCGUAUUUUAAGAGAUUUUUAUUUUCAGCCGUUCAUUUUGAGACUGUCAUUAAACAAAAGAACUCAAAAAAUUAUGAAAUUUAAUUUCUAAAUAGUUCUAAUAGCGUAGAUCAUGAUAACCGAACCGAUUGCCGAAUCGGAUAUCCCAUUAUCGAUAACAACUUAAAAGCUCGGGCUCUCCGUACUUUCGAAAGCAUAAGUGCCUAGCUCUAUGUGUAUAUAUAGAAUUGCGUUGUAAUACUAUUAAUAGUAUUAAUAAUUAACUAAUUAAUAAUUAACUAAUUUAAUAAUAAAAUAUUAGCUAAAUUAAUAAUUAU